UUAAUAUCUUCAUUUCUUCUAUCUAGUUUCUUCAUUUCUCUGUGAUUAUUUGUUCAUUGUUCAAUCAUAUAUAUGUUGAUGGCAGCUGCUUUGUUAUUUAAAAGGUCUAGGAGCUUAGUUCAGAAUAAGGUAUCCUUGUUGUUAGGAAUAGGAGGAUCAAGAUCAACAACAACUCCGCCACCAUUGAUUAACCAUCAUCGGUUUCGAUAUUCUUCUUCUCAGCCAUUUGUUGCAUCAUCAACGCGUUAUGAAUCCAGCAAAGCACAGGCACAGUUGGAAGAUUUUCAGCAACAUGAUGAUCAGGUACGUAUGUCUAUUAUAUUUUCACCGGUUGAGUUGAGACAUUGAAUGAAUAAAGUAGAGAAGGAGAUGCAUGAAUCAAACUCUCCAAAUAUAAAUGUUUAUCUAUGUCAAAACAAAAUAUGUUUAUAAAAAAACAAAAACAAAAAUCUGUCCAAAAAAUAUAACCUUACUAAAACUUCGAUAAUUUAAAGUUUGAACGCGAGAUAAGUAAAAUUUAGUCAAUCAAACUCGGAUUUCCUUAAACGAUUAAUUCUAGAGAGAACUCGUUAAUUACUUGAGCCAAUGUCUUGGUUAAUAAUUAGUUUUUUUAAGCAAAA
rnacentral:lncRNA from 1 species